rnacentral:rRNA from 1 species
UAGCCUUUCGAAAGGAAGAACAAUACUCCAUAGUAUUUCUCCCCGGCAUCGGGGAGUUCUUAAAGCUUCGGCGGUUUGGGAUAGGCAUGCGUUCUAUUAGUUAGUUGGUGAGGUAACGGCUCACCAAGACCACGAUAGAUAGGGGGCCUGAGAGGGUUAUCCCCCACACUGGUACUGAGACACGGACCAGACUCCUACGGGAGGCAGCAGUGAGGAAUAUUGCACAAUGGACGAAAGUCUGAUGCAGCCAUGCCGCGUGCAGGAUGAAUGCCCUAUGGGUUGUAAACUGCUUUUAUAUGGGAAGAAACCCCUCUACGUGUAGAGGGCUGACGGUACCAUAAGAAUAAGGACCGGCUAACUCCGUGCCAGCAGCCGCGGUAAUACGGAGGGUCCAAGCGUUAUCCGGAUUCAUUGGGUUUAAAGGGUCCGCAGGCGGGAAAAUAAGUCAGUGGUGAAAGCCUACAGCUUAACUGUAGAACUGCCAUUGAAACUGUUUUUCUUGAAUUUAGAUGAAGUGGGCGGAAUAUAUCAUGUAGCGGUGAAAUGCAUAGAUAUGAUAUAGAACACCGAUUGCUAAGGCAGCUCACUAAACUAAUAUUGACGCUGAGGGACGAAAGCGUGGGGAGCGAACAGGAUUAGAUACCCUGGUAGUCCACGCCGUAAACGAUGAUUACUCGGUGCUAGCGAUAUACUGUUAGUGCCUAAGCGAAAGCGAUAAGUAAUCCACCUGGGGAGUACGGUCGCAAGAUUGAAACUCAAAGGAAUUGACGGGGGCCCGC